UUUUGAUAUGAAAACACGCAAACACAAACCUACACAAACAUGCUUCAGAGGGAAAACUUACUCUUCGAGAAUUAAUUUGAAUGACACGAGACAACGGAGAAGCCAAAGAUAAUUAGAGAGAUAUGACCAGUGACAUCAAACUCAAACAAUGAGAACAUACCACACUUCACCUUUUUGUGAAUAAAAAGAUUUUCAAUUUGAGACAGAGAAGAGCUCGCAAAAAGUAGAUUUCCUGUGCUAGUUCUAUUGUUACAAAACAGGUUGUUUUUCUUAGAGGUUAGAAAGAUGGCAUCUACCUGAUCUGCCUCUCCCAAAGAAUCAUAAAUAGUCAAUACUCUUGAGAAAGCAUUUUUGACAAGGUAUUUAAUGUAAAGAUCUAACCUUUCAAUUAGUGCCUAACAUGUGUUUUGCGGAGUAUCGAGAUGAUUGUGAAAGAGGCUGGAGAGAAUGUAAACACUCGCGAAAAUGGAGCCAAGAAACUGCUUCUCGAUUGAGCGUAUAACUAGUUUCUAAUAUUAAAAACAAGGAAAGCGGAAUCAAGAGCCCAGAGCGCCGUAACAUUACAGAACUUACCGUGAAAAUCGUGACAGCCUGGUAGACAAAGACGCUUGCGAAUGAAACAGGAUAUCUAAAAGGCUGAUACUUAUACUAAAUACUACGGAGUAGGACGCUUUAGCCGUGGCGCGAGUAUUUUGAAGUUAAGGUAGAUGACGUAUAUUGAACACCUUAUGGUGCGUUAUGUGACACUUCAACCUUCUUCAAGUCGCGUGACUCGUUCGAGUAAGUUCUUGUUUGCUUGUACGUCUUGUAGUAAAUACAGUACAUAAUCAAAUCACAAUCAAAUGUCAAAAGGAAAGGAUAACAACCAAGAUAAUUGUAUUUAAAAUUUGUAAAAUUGGGUAAAUAAAAGUCGAAAGUCGAAAGAUCUCCAAAACUAAAAAAACAGACAUCUUUCCUCCGUUUCUCCAUGCAAACAAUUGGCGAGGUAUUCUAGAGUCUUUGGGGAGGGGAGGGGACCAAAAAAGAAAUAGCUCAAUUUGUUUGAGAAGCGAAAGUGCUUUGAAAUGAAAAUUAUAUAAUGACAUCGCUACAACGUACAAUGAUAGAGAAUUUAUUGUAAAAAGGAAUAUAAUUUAAAACCAAUUGUUUUUUUUUUAAUAUGAAUGUACUUGGAGCAACGCCCGUGAAUCAAAGAUGAAAAGGUGCCAAAUAAAAUAAUUGAAUUGAAA